rnacentral:rRNA from 1 species
UUGGAGGGCAAGUCUGGUGCCAGCAGCCGCGGUAAUUCCAGCUCCAAUAGCGUAUAUUAAAGUUGUUGCAGUUAAAAAGCUCGUAGUUGAAUUUCGGGGUUAGUAGGUUGGUCAUGCCUCUGGUAUGUACUGGUCUCACUGAUUCCUCCUUCCUGAUGAACCGUAAUGCCAUUAAUUUGGUGUUGCGAGGAAUUUGGACUGUUACUUUGAAAAAAUUAGAGUGUUUAAAGCAGGCUCACGCUUGAAUACAUUAGCAUGGAAUAAUGAAAUAGGACGUUUGAUUCUAUUUUGUUGGUUUCUAGGAUCGACGUAAUGAUUAAUAGGGAUAGUUGGGGGCAUUAGUAUUCAAUUGUCAGAGGUGAAAUUCUUGGAUUUAUUGAAGACUAACUACUGCGAAAGCAUUUGCCAAGGAUGUUUUCAUUAAUCAAGAACGAAAGUUAGGGGAUCGAAGACGAUCAGAUACCGUCGUAGUCUUAACCAUAAACUAUGCCGACUAGGGAUCGGAUGAUGUUAAUUUUUUAAUGACUCAUUCGGCGCCUUACGGGAAAC